UGCAUAUUUUGCCCCCGACUCCGUAUUGUCAGCGGGUGUCUGGCGCAUACCUUGUCAUGGGGAUCCCGUAAGGUUGCCCUUCCUGUGCUGAUCUGUCACUCGCGCCCGUCUUUGCACUCGCCCCACUCGCUCAGAUUUGAAUGACGAGUUUCCUGGCAGCAGGAAGUAAUAAGGAAAGGAUUUUCUAUUUAUAAUAAAUGGUGUUGGGAACACUGACUAGUCAUAUGCAGAAAACUGAAGCUGGACCCCUUCCUUUCACAUUAUACAAAAAUUUACUGAAGAUGGAUUAAAGACUUAAACAUAAGAUUUAAAACCAUAUAAACCCUAGAAGGAAACCUAGGCAGUACUGUUCAGGACAUAGGCAUUGGCAAAGACUUCAUGACUACAACACCAAAAGCAAUUGCAACAAAAGCCAAAACUGACAAAUGUGAUCUACUUAAACUAAAGAGCUUCUGCACAGCAAAAGAAACUCUCAUUAGAGUGAACAGGCAACCCACAGAAUGGGAGAACAUUUUUGCAAUCUACCCAUCUGACAAAGGCUAAUAUCCAGAAUUUACAAGAAACUUCAGGAAAUCUACUUAAAAAAAAAAAAUCCUGGCCAGGCUCAUGCCUAUAAUCCCAGCACUUUGGGAGGCUGCGGCGGGUAGGUCAUGAGGUCAAGAGAUCGAGACCAUCCUGGUCAACAUGGUGAAACAUCAGGGGAAAAAGAAAGUUCGUGAGACAGCUGAAGAUCUGAGAUCUGUGGAGGUCUCUAUUUUUUGGAUGAAAUCAGUCUGCCUCCUCGGGUGUAUGACCUAAUUCUCAUAUGAGGCUGGGCUAAUCCAUUUUCUGAGCUUCAUGGGGUCUUUGCCUACUAUUCUCAAGGAAUCCUUAAUGAAGAUAGGAUCCAUUUUUGCCCCCAUACAGAGUUGUCAUUACCUUUGAGGUUCACAGGCUAAUCACAAAUGCUACAUCAAUUAUUGUUCUGCAAAUAACAUAUUACUUUGAGUGGUUCCAAAGGUCUUGUGUUUAUUGGCUGGGAAUUUCCAAUAGCAAUGAGGAUUUAAGAAAGAGGUUGCUAGUGAAGAGCUCACCAGCAACAUCUGGAAUAGCAGACCAAAUUCCCUCAUCCUGGGGCACAAAUCAGGUGUUGCAGCUGAGGGGCCGUGGAAGAAGAGCUGCAGUGGCCAUUCCCUUCACCUGGCUGCCUCCUCUACUCUAUAGGGCACUGAGCCCAAUGGAGAUGGAUGGGAGUGGAGUAGCAGUGAUGUGAUGAAUUACCUUGCAUGGGAGAGAAAUCCCUCCACUGUCUCAAACCCUGGCCACUGUACGAGCCUGUCAAGAAGCACGGUAUUUCUGAAGUGGAAAGAUUAUAACUGCAAUGUGAGGUUACCCUAUGUCUGCAAGUUCACUACCUAGGGCAGGAGCAAAGUCAGCAGCCUGCGUUUGGUGUGGAACUCAUCAUGAGCAUGAACCCAGUGUGAAGACAUCCUGGAAGAGAAUAUUCACUUAAUUCCCCCCAGAUAUGACCACGUCAUUCUUAUCUUCCUUCUGUUUCUUCCUUCUCACUUUCAUUUCAGUCUCUUCAUUUUGUCAUAUGGCCUAAGGCUUUAGAGAGCAAUAAUAAAAUUUUUAGUCUGCA